rnacentral:misc_RNA from 1 species
CCGAGUUCAUGCCCUUACGGGUAGAUCUCCCACCCUUUGUAUACUAUACCUUUGUUGCUUUGGCGGGCCGCCUAGCUACUGGCUUCGGCUGGUAAGUGCCCGCCAGAGGACCCAAAACCCUGAAUUAUUAGUGUCGUCUGAGUACUAUAUAAUAGUUA